GAGCCUCUCGGCUCAGUUGUUAGAGCAUGGCGCUUGCAACGGCAGGCUUGUGGGUUCGAUUCCCACGGGGGACU
rnacentral:tRNA from 1 species